CGUAGGAGGCAAGCGUUAUCCGGAUUUACUGGGCGUAAAGGGCGUGCAGGUGGUUUUCUAAGUGGUGCGUGAAAGCGCUCGGCUCAACCGGGCGAGGCCGUGCCAAACUGGGGGACUAGAAACAGGCAGAGGAAAGUGGAGUUCGGGGUGUAGUGGUGAAAUGCGUAGAGAUCCCGAGGAACUCCUGUGGCGAAGGCGACUUUCUGGGCCUGCUUUGACACUCAGACGCGAAAGCAUGGGGAGCGAACGGGAUUAGAAACCCCGGUAGUCCAUGCCGUAAACGAUGUCCACUGGGCGUUUGCCUCGCAAGAGGUGAGUGCCGCAGCUAACGCGCUAAGUGGACCGCCUGGGGAGUACGACCGCAAGGUUA
rnacentral:rRNA from 1 species